CAGCAGCCACGGGAAUACAGAGGGUGCGAGCGUUAAUCGGAUUUACUGGGCGUAAAGCGUGUGUAGGUUGUUGUUCAAGUCAGUUGUGAAAUCCCUGGGCUCAACCUGGGAACUGCUUCUGAGACUGAACGACUAGAGUACGGUAGAGGGUGGUGGAAUUUCCGGUGUAGCGGUGAAAUGCGUAGAUAUCGGAAGGAACAUCAAUGGCGAAGGCAGCCACCUGGGCCUGUACUGACACUGAGACACGAAAGCGUGGGGAUCAAACAGGAUUAGAUACCCCGGUAGUCCCUGUCUCUUAUAU
rnacentral:rRNA from 1 species